UGUGGCAGAGUAGUGCUAUAAAUUUAAGCUUUAUAAAUAAAGUAAACCUUUCUUUAGAAAA
rnacentral:tRNA from 1 species